CGAGAAGUCGAGGAUAUACUGAAGUGGACUCGAUAAUGCUGCUAGAAUGCUGCCGUAGAGCUUUCGAAUUUGUGGGCCUAAACGAAUGAGCUUUCGUCAGCUUCGCGAGUCCAUCGACUUCCGGCACGAGCUUGCAUAGUAUAAAGAAAAUAGUGUAACAAUACUGAGAUACUUAAUAGAAAUAGAUGAUCAGAAGAGCGAUCCUAAUCACAGAGAGUGAUUUUCCAGAAAAAGAAAAGAAAAAAAAAAGAAGAAAGAAAAAGAAAAAGAAAAAGAAAAAGAAAAAAGAAAGAAAAGGUAGGAGCAAAUUAAUGAGCUCUUUCGUCCAAUCGACCGAUCUUUGGAUCGAUGCCUGAGGAUGAGUGUAACAGUUCGUGACGUCUUUAACGAGAGAGUAUAUCCAACUUGUUAAUCUUUAGCCCUGGCCUUGAGCCGACGACGAAUUCCAAUUUUUUUUUUCUUGUUUCUUUUUUUUUUUUUUUACGUACUUCUUAUAGUAAAAUAAAAAUGAACGAACACCUACACUACACAGUUGUGAAAGAAAUAUUUCAUAUAAAUACGAGAGCGUAUAAAGUAAAAUACACGAGACGAUUAAAAAUAGAAUUUUAUGACUAAACUCUUAGGAUUUCAACGUAAAUGAAAUUCCAAAUGAUAUUUAAACAUGAAUUUGAAGUAUUCAAGGUAUCGCAUGGAUCUUUAUGUGUGUGAUCCUCUUUGUAAAAAAAGAAAAAAAAAAAAAAGAAAAAAAGAAAAAAUUAAUAUCCAUUGGAAAUUAUCCAAUAGAACUCGACGAAGUUUAUAAGAAUUAUAUUUCAAUGCACUUACAUAUUUUCAAGUUAUUAUAUAAUAGAAUUAUAAGUGCGCGACCGUGAGUGUGAUAUUUGUAUGCAUUAAAUUGAAUUGCAAAAGGAAAAAAAAGAAGAAGAUAAAAUUCAAUGGACGAUCAUCGAUCUCAUUAAAAGUUAGAUUUCGAAGGUAAAAAAAAUUCAAGAAGAAAAUAGAAAAUAAAAAGGUAAGGAAGAUAGAAAAUAAAAAAAAAAGCAUACGAAAAAGCGUCGAUGAACAAGAUGAAAAAAUUGUGUCACGUGUUCGUGAAACCUCGUUCUGAUAACAACGAUAAGAAAGAAAGUAAAAAAAAAGAAAAAAAAGAAAAGAAGAAGAAGAAAAAAAAAAGAAAACUAAUAAUUUUGAUUUAGAAACGAUUAAUAUCUCACUCUUUCUUCUUUUUUCUUUUUCUUUUUCUUUUUCUCUUUUCUUUCUUUCUUUCCUUCUUUCUUUCUAUAUCUCACAAACACAAAUUCACAGAUACACGUUUCAAAGAGUGAAACAGAGAGAGAGAGAGAGAAAGAGAGAGUGAGUAAGAGAGAGAGCGAGAGAGAGAGAGAUCGAGAGAGAGAGAGAGAGAGAGAUCGAGAGAUCGAUCUUUUAUUAUAUUUUGAUCUAUCUCUCUCAACACGACGAAUAACACAACCGGAUAAAAUCUCGUUGAAGAGAAUACGAUUAGCGCGUUUCUCGCGAGAUACUGUCGAGGCAAGGAGCUUUUGGAACGCACCACGACCUCCUCCGCUAUAAAUAAAACGUGUCGGCGGCCACAACGAGAAUUUUGCCAGCAGCAGCAGCAACAGCAGCAGCAGCAGCAACAGCAGCAGCAGCAGCAGCAGCAGUAGUAACUUCGUAUUCGUAAGAUUAUUAACGAAGAAUGAGAAGUAGGAAUCGUUGAAAAAAAAAAGAAAAGAAGAAAAGAAAAAAGAAAUUUUUGUUCUAAUUACCAACGAUCGAUGUGAUCGAUUCUUACGUCGAUAACGUAGAAAUCUUCGUCGGUAUAUCGUGCUUGUGACCUUUCAAGGAUCAUUUGAAAGACAAUCAUUGUUCACUUCGAGUCCGUCGAAUUUUUUGGAAAAAAAAUUAAAGGAAAGAAGAGAGAAUGAAGAGGGAGAGAAAAAAAAAACGAAAACGAAAAAGAAAGAAAAAAUACAAUGGAAAAUAAAUAUUAUCGAUUUGAAUGAAAUUUAUCGAAAUUCGAACAAGGGGACAUUUAAACCUGUCUCUAUAAUAUUUACAGAAGAAUCCAAGCGUCUCUAGUUCCCCGCACCUGUUUCAUUUUUCUCACUGUUGCAUCAUCGUCCGCGUUCCGGAAAUGUAGGCCGCUUUGACGAGCCGCAGGCGGAUUUAGAAUCCAAAAGAAGAAUGGAAGUACCGCUCGCCACACCUCGAAAGAUUACCGGUUUUGGAUCUCUCUCACUAUAACCAGAUUUAAGAAAGAUCGAAGAAAAACAUUAUGUUAAAGAAAGGAUAAAGAAGAGGGGGAAGGACCAAGAAAUAGUGGUCACUCGUCCCACGAGAUCGAGCUUGAUCCUUUGAGAGUAAGUCCGAGUUUGCAGCAAGGAUACAUCUCGGAAUGUUCGGCGAUAAUGAUCUACGUUCGAGAGAAGAGGGUAUUUCGAAGAGAGGACGUAGGCGAGACGAAGGGUCCAUAGAAAGAGAGAGAGAGAGAGAGAGAAAGAUAGAGAGAGUAAAGAACCGAGAUGGAAGUUGGUAAUCCGAGAAGCCCGAGGUGAAGCGAGCUGAGGGCAUGCUAGUACCAAAUGAGAUUGGGAAGCGGCCUGUGUCCAGGACUACUUUGGAGUGUCCUUCUUGCCUCUGGCUUCUCUCUUUUGCGUUUGUUACCAACCAACCAACCAACCAAGCAACCAACCCCAGCAGCAAUCUGGUCUCUGAAUUUGUCUCUAAGAUAUCAACAGAGAGAAACGCGGAAUCUUAAAAACCAAAAGGAUUCUAAUAAAUUAAGCAAUGAGAUUAUUCAAAAUAUCCUAAACAAAUUGGU